rnacentral:rRNA from 1 species
UACAGAGGUCCCAAGCGUUGUUCGGAUUCACUGGGCGUAAAGGGUGCGUAGGUGGUGAGGUAAGUCGGAUGUGAAAUCUCCGAGCUCAACUCGGAAAUGGCAUUGGAAACUACCUUGCUCGAGGGUUGGAGGGGGGACUGGAAUGCUUGGUGUAGCAGUGAAAUGCGUAGAUAUCAAGCGGAACACCAGUGGCGAAGGCGGCUCACUGGCUCGUUACUGACGCUCAGGCACGACAGCGUGGGGAUCAAACAGG